AUCGAACGCUGGCGGCAGGCUUAACACAUGCAAGUCGAACGAGUGGCGGACGGGUGAGUAAUGCGUGGGAAUCUAGCCUAUGGAGGGGGAUAACUACGGGAAACUGUAGCCAAUACCGCGUACCAUAGGAUGAGCCCAGGUGGGAUUGGGUAGUUGGUGGGGUAAAGGCUCACCAAGCCGAAGAUCUCUAGCCGUUCGGAGAGGAUGACCAGCCACACUGGGACUGAGACACGGCCCAGACUCUUACGGGAGGCAGCAGUGGGGAAUAUUCCGCAAUGGGGGCAACCUGACGCAGCAAUGCCGCGUGAAUGAAGAAGGCUUUCGGGUUGUAAAGUUCUUUCGGUAGCGAGGCGUUAACUACAGAAGAAGCACCGGCUAACUCCGUGCCAGCAGCCGCGGUAAUUC
rnacentral:rRNA from 1 species